GGGCCCUUAGCUCAGUUGGUUAGAGCAUCCGACUCAUAAUCGGCAGGUCCCCCCGUUCAAGUCGGGGAGGGCCCACCA
rnacentral:tRNA from 1 species